AAAAAUAGAGCAUGAUUUUGAUUGCGCUCAGAUUCAUCACAGCAGAGCCGGAAGGACAUAAACUGAUGUAGUGAAGUGUUUGCACAGGAAGUCCCAAUAGUGCCCUUGAAGUAAGGACACUGACAGCGUAUUGAGCAAAUCAUGGCAGGAAAACAUGUCUUCCUCUACCGUGGGGGGAAGGGCGGAAUGUUACAAUAUAUUGUGCAAGGAUCAAACACUCAUUUGUGCAACGCUGCAUAUAAUACAGGAGCAACAGGUGAACAGCGUGGCCUGACCCACUGCACCCUGGCUUUCACAUGGAACAGAAUCUGGGUAGCACAUUCUCUCUUGCAUUGCUGUCAUCGACUAACUGGACAACCAGUAGCCUCUAACCCGUGUAACCCGAGCCAGCGCGCAGUACUGAUGCAUUACCUAUCAUGUUAGUGGGAAACUGAUCUCCAACCUGAGAGCCACCAGCGCCAAUUAAUCAUCCUCAGAUGAAAUGUAAUAAUCUGUCAAGUAUUUCGUGUUAUCGCUGAUGGGUUUACAGUGAUUUAAUAACAACACUAGGACAAACUCCUCGUACGACAGGUUUUGAUUAAAACCCGUGUAAAUAAAAAGAGCAGCAGUGUCUGUCAGAGCCCA